AAACUUUACAAUGCGGGAAACCGUGAUAAGGGAACUCCGAGUGCCCGUUAAAUCGGGCUGUCCAUCUGCUUAAAACACAGGUGAAGAAAGGGCCGGGCAAGACCGGUGCCAGCCGCCGCGGUAAUACCGGCGGCUCGAGUGGUGGCCACUAUUACUGGGCUUAAAGCGUUCGUAGCUGGUUUGUUAAGUCUCUGGGGAAAUCUUCCGGCUUAACCGGAAGGCGUCUCAGGGAUACUGGCAGACUAGGGACCGGAGGAGGUGAGGGGUACUCCAGGGGUAGGAGUGAAAUCCUGUAAUCCUUGGGGGACCACCUGUGGCGAAGGCGCCUCACCAAGACGGCUCCGACAGUGAGGGACGAAAGCUGGGGGAGCAAACCGG
rnacentral:rRNA from 1 species